ACAGAAGCUCUUAGCAUCACUGAUUAUUACUCCACCAUUAUUCCAGCAGAAGAAACCAUUUUGUGCAAUGUAACACCUGUCUGUAAUUUCUCAGUGUUCUAUGUGGGCAGCGUAAAACUCCAGGCAAAUGAAGAAAGUAACAAGUCACUAAAUGUAGAUAUAGUAAGUGUUCUCUCUCUUAAAACUUUAUUGUAAGGAAGGUUGAAAUGGCUUUCUUUGUCUACACUUAAAAUGCUGAUACCUUGACAUGAUUUUUGUUAUGUUUUUUAGAGUUUAAGU
rnacentral:lncRNA from 1 species